UCCGUAGGUGGAUAAUUAAGUCAGAGGUGAAAUCCUGCAGCUCAACUGUAGAAUCGCCUUUGAAACUGGUUAUCUUGAGUUAUUAUGAAGUAGUUAGAAUAUGUAGUGUAGCGGUGAAAUGCAUAGAUAUUACAUAGAAUACCAAUUGCGAAGGCAGUUUACUAAUAAUCAACUGACACUGAUGGACGAAAGCGUGGGGAGCGAACAGGAUUAGAUACCCUGGUAGUCC
rnacentral:rRNA from 1 species